rnacentral:rRNA from 1 species
UUGCAUAUCAAUAAGCGGAGGAAAAGAAACUAACUAGGAUUCCCUUAGUAACGGCGAGUGAACCGGGAUGAGCUCAAAUUUGAAAUCUGGCGUCUUUCAGGCGUCCGAGUUGUAAUCUAUAGAGGCGUUUUCCGCGCCGGACCGCGUCCAAGUCUCUUGGAAUAGAGUAUCAAAGAGGGUGACAAUCCCGUACUUGACGCGACAACCGGUGCUCUGUGAUACGUUCUCAAUGAGUCGAGUUGUUUGGGAAUGCAGCUCUAAAUGGGUGGUAAAUUCCAUCUAAGGCUAAAUAUUGGCGAGAGACCGAUAGCGAACAAGUACCGUGAGGGAAAGAUGAAAAGCACUUUGGAAAGAGAGUUAAACAGCACGUGAAAUUGUUAAAAGGGAAACGAUUGAAGUCAGUCGUGUGAGGGGUAUUCAGCCGUCUCUGGCGGUGUAUUUGCCUCUCACGGGUCAACAUCAGUUUGAUCCGGUAGAAAAAGGCGGGAGGAAGGUGGCACCCUCGGGUGUGUUAUAGCCUCCUGUCAUAUGUGCCGGACCAGACUGAGGAACGCAGCUUGCAGCAAUGCCGGGAUUCGUCCACGUACAAGCUUAGGAUGUUGACAUAAUGGCUUUAAACGACCCGUCUUGGAAACACGGACCA